GGGGUUGUGGCUCAGUGGUAGAGUGCUUGCCUCUUAUGUGAGAGGCACUGGGUUCAAUUCUCAGCACCACA
rnacentral:tRNA from 1 species